rnacentral:sRNA from 1 species
AUUAAACUGCAUUAAGUUUAAUAACUUUUGUGCAAACGAACGAACGAACGAACGUUUCAUUCGAACGUACUGGCGCACUGUUACCAUGUAUCUGCAGAGCCAGCCCAUUACUGCCCCGCCCAACACAGCCAGCCCAGCCCAGCCCAGCCCCGACCAUAUUAAAACGAAGGCAAAGGCUUUUGGCCAGCGGAUUAUGUACAAAACAGACAUAGGGGUCCACAAAAAGAGAGAACACGCUACGAGUAGAACGCAACAUAUUGUGCGGCUGGCCACACGCAGCGUCAACAGCAACAAUAACAAGCAGUUAGACGGGGCAUGCACAGCCAUAGGGAUACCCCGUGUUAGCGGCAGCACUUUUUUGACCAGCCCAACAGAGAAUGAGAAAGAGAGAGAGAGAGAGCGAGAGAGACAGGAAGUGGCAGCUGGGCGGCGGAGGGGCGUGGCUCUAUGGCAACGCAAGCCGCUUAACGCAACCAACUGCCAAAUGUAAAUAUACUCCAACCCCAAGUAAAGACCAGCAGCAGCAGCAUGGCGCAGCAGAGCCGCAAGCGGAAUGCGCAUUGUUUUCAGCUUUUCGGCAGCAAAAGCAACAACAACAAGUGGGUAAAUUCAGAACGGAACUGGGCAACUGGGAGCUGGGAGCUGGGAGCAGGGAGCAGGAGGCGACAAGGCAGCGCCGAGCACAGCGCAGCGCAGCGCGGGAUGCGGCGCGGCUUGAGGAACUUAAAAACUUUGGCCAUAUCCCGCAGCUAUGAACAACAGCAAUCAAUUUUCACAUGCCGGCGAACAAAUGUGCCGCAACGGGCGGCCCAGCGGCCCUGACUGCGACUCCAACUCUGGCGAGGAUGGCGUGGAUGGUGCUGUGGGGUGGUGUAGUAAGUUGGCCACCCUGCCUGCCACUGGGUAUUUUUUAAAAUUAUAAUGCGGCAGCGUGUGCGCGUGUGAAAAUGCCGUCAUGGCCAUCAUCAAACUGGGCAAACACACUGGACACCAGUCCUGUCCAGGCUAGUCCUGUCCAGGCGAGUCCUAUCCUGGCCAGUCCUAGCGCAGCACACACACAUAUAUUUACCAAGCGCUUCACAUUACGUCCAGUUCCAUCAAAUCAGUGCAGACACGCCCACGCCCACGCACACCACUCAAACGCCUCCAUCGUGAGCGCGUCGCUGAUUAAUUUCUCGUUUUUGCGCCAUUUUCUAUUUGUCUUGGUCUUGGUAAUUACAACAAGUUCCCUCGCACAAGAUAAACA